GACGAACGCUGGCGGCGCGCUUAACACAUGCAAGUCGAGCGAAGCGGCGGACGGGUGAGUAACACGUGAGUAACCUGCCUUAGACAUUGGGAUAGCCUCGGGAAACCGGGAUUAAUACCAAAUGGUCUAAGAUGGACUCGCGUCCCAUUAGCUAGUUGGUGAGGUAACGGCCCACCAAGGCGACGAUGGGUUGCCGGCCUGAGAGGGUGAACGGCCACAUUGGCACUGAGAAGCGGUCCAAACUCGAAGGGGGGCAGAAGUGGGGAAUAUUGCAGAAUGGAGGGAACUCUGAUGCAGCGACGCCGCGUGGGGGAUGAAGGUUUUCGGAUUGUAAACCUCGUGCGCUAUCGAACAGGCUCAUUUUUUGGUGGCUUGACGGUAGGUGGAGAAGAAGCGCCGGCUAACUACGUGCCAGCCGCCGCGGUAAUAC
rnacentral:rRNA from 1 species